GGCCAGACUCCUACGGGAGGCAGUGGGGAAUAUUGCACAAUGGGGGAAACCCUGAUGCAGCGACGCCGCGUGAGUGAAGAAGUAUUUCGGUAUGUAAAGCUCUAUCAGCAGGAACGAGACAAGACGGUACCUGACUAAGAAGCCCCGGCUAACUACGUGCCAGCAGCCGCGGUAAUACGUAGGGGGCAAGCGUUAUCCGGAAUCACUGGGUGUAAAGGGAGCGUAGACGGCUGUGCAAGCCUGAAGUGAAAGGCGGGGGCCCAACCCCCGGACUGCUUUGGGAACUGUACGGCUGGAGUGCAGGAGAGGUAAGUGGAAUUCCUAGUGUAGCGGUGAAGUGCGUAGAUAUUAGGAGGAACACCAGUGGCGAAGGCGGCCUGCUGGACGAUGACUGCCGCUGAGGCUCGAAAGCGUGGGGAGCAAACAGGAUUAGAUCCCCUUGUAAU
rnacentral:rRNA from 1 species